rnacentral:rRNA from 1 species
CAGCAGUGGGGAAUAUUGCACAAUGGGGGAAACCCUGAUGCAGCGACGCCGCGUGAAGGAAGAAGUAUCUCGGUAUGUAAACUUCUAUCAGCAGGGAAGAAAAUGACGGUACCUGACUAAGAAGCCCCGGCUAACUACGUGCCAGCAGCCGCGGUAAUACGUAGGGGGCAAGCGUUAUCCGGAUUUACUGGGUGUAAAGGGAGCGUAGACGGAUGGACAAGUCUGAUGUGAAAGGCUGGGGCUCAACCCCGGGACUGCAUUGGAAACUGCCCGUCUUGAGUGCCGGAGAGGUAAGCGGAAUUCCUAGUGUAGCGGUGAAAUGCGUAGAUAUUAGGAGGAACACCAGUGGCGAAGGCGGCUUACUGGACGGUAACUGACGUUGAGGCUCGAAAGCGUGGGGAGCAAACAGGAUUAGA